AGCAGCAUGGCGCAGAUGGAAGCGCGCGGGGCCCAUACCGCUUACGUAAGCAGAUACCCCGAGGUCACUCGAUCGAAACGAGUUGCUGCUA